UGGGGAAUAUUGGGCAAUGGGCGAAAGCCUGACCCAGCAACGCCGCGUGAAGGAAGAAGGCUUUCGGGUUGUAAACUUCUUUUCUCAGGGACGAAAGAAAUGACGGUACCUGAGGAAUAAGCCACGGCUAACUACGUGCCAGCAGCCGCGGUAAUACGUAGGUGGCAAGCGUUAUCCGGAUUUAUUGGGUGUAAAGGGCGUGUAGGCGGGAGUGCAAGUCAGAUGUGAAAACUAUGGGCUCAACCCAUAGCCUGCAUUUGAAACUGUACUUCUUGAGUGCUGGAGAGGCAAUCGGAAUUCCGUGUGUAGCGGUGAAAUGCGUAGAUAUACGGAGGAACACCAGUGGCGAAGGCGGAUUGCUGGACAGUAACUGACGCUGAGGCGCGAAAGCGUGGGGAAGCAAAACAGGAUUAGAUACCC
rnacentral:rRNA from 1 species